rnacentral:sRNA from 1 species
AGGGGGGUCUGCUCUGUGCAGUGAAGCUUCUCUUCUUGGCACCUGCCUGGCAUCGGAAAAGGGCCCCUUCUCCCUCCCUGGGCUAUGUGGACACUGUAAUGCCUCAGUAUUCUUUCUUUCUUUUUGUUUUUGACACAGGAUCUCACUCUAUCACCCAAGCUGGAGUGCAGUGGUACCAUCAUAGCUCACUGCAGCCUCAAACUCCCCAGCUCGGGUGAUCCUCCCUGCCUCAGCCUCCUGAGUUGUAGUAGCUGGGACCACAGACGUCUGCCACCAAGCCCAGCCGCACCGCCAGUUCCGGGGAGGGCCCUGGGCCAGCGGCUGUCCGCCCCGCCUCCUUUAUAAAGUCCUGGCCUCGGGACAGCCCGCACAGCUGCCCAGCCUGGGCUGACGGGACAGCCCUGACCCACUCACUCUUUCCCCUGCCGCUCCUGCCGGCAGCUCAGCUCGAACCAUGGGAGGCCGCGUCUUUCUCGCAUUCUGUGUCUGGCUGACGCUGUCGGGAGCUGAAACCCAGGACUCCAGGGGCUGUGCCCAGUGGUGCCCUCAGAACUCCUCGUGUGUCAAUGCCACCGCCUGUCGCUGCAAUCCAGGGUUCAGCUCUUUUUCUGAGAUCAUCACCACCCCCACGGAGACUUGUGAUGACAUCAACGAGUGUGCAACACCGUCGAAAAGUGUCAUUCGGAAAAUUCUCAGACUGCAGGAAUGCAGAGGGGAGCUACCACUGCGUGUGCAGGCCGGGGUAUGAGCUUGCUUCUGGGGCAAAAACAUUCAAGAAUGAGAGCGAGAACAUGUGUCAAGAUGUGGACGAAUGUCAGCAGAACCCAAGGCUCUGUAAAAGCUACGGCACCUGUGUCAACACCCUCGGCAGCUACACGUGCCAGUGCCUACCUGGCUUCAAGCUCAAACCUGAGGACCCGAAGCUCUGCACAGAUGUGAAUGAAUGCACCUCCGGACAAAACCCGUGCCACAGCUCCACCCACUGCCUCAACAACAUGAGCAGCUAUCAGUGCCGCUGCCGCCCGGGCUGGCAACCGAUUCCAGGGUCCCCCAAUGGACCAAACAAUACCAUCUGUGAAGGUCGAGAGCUCAGAUCCCACUUUCCCAGGCACCCACAAACAUCUGAUCACAUGUUCAACGGCACCCACACAAACCAAGCAGAAUGAGCGCUGGAGGCGCCCGGCUGUGCCAGGCGUUCAUUCUUCUGAGGCUAGAUGAGAAAAGAGCAGGGGUCCUCCAGAAGGAGCUGGGGUACUGAGUGGGGAGCCUCAGGGGGACCCCAGGCAACAGCUGAUGAUUCACUGGGAGGAAGGCGUUUCACCAUAUUCAUAACCUGCACAUUUGCACGGGGCCCACCUGCUGUGCCCAGGCCUCACCACGCUUCCAUAACCCAGCGUCCACCUCUCCAAGGGGGCCACUAAUGCUGGGAAGAACAAGCUGGGGGCACAGACAGGAGACAGGACCCUCUCCAGGCUGGGGCAGGGCCUGACCCCCUUCUUCCUGUCCUCAGAUGUGGACGAGUGCAGCUCCGGGCAGCAUCAGUGUGACAGCUCCACCGUCUGCUUCAACAUCGUGGGUUCAUAUAGCUGCCGUUGCCGCCCAGGCUGGAAGCCCAAACACGGAAUCCUGAAUAACCAAAAGGACACUGUCUGUGAAGAUAUGACUUUCUCUACCUGGACCCUGCCCCCUGGAGUCCACAGCCAAAGCCUCUCCCGCUUCUUUGAUAAAGUCCAGGAUCUGGGCAGGGACUACAAGCCAGGCUUGGCCCAAUAGCUCCAUCCAGAGCAUCUUACAGGAGCUGGAUGAGCUGCUGGAGGCCCCCGGGGACCUGGAGACCCUGCCCCACUUACAGCAGCACUGUGUGGCCAGUCACCUGCUGGAUGGCGUAGAGGAUGUCCUCAGAGGCCUGAGCAAGACCCUUCCCGAUGGGCUCUUGAACUUCAGUUAUCCUGCAGGCACAGAAUUGUCCCUGGAGGUGCAGAAGCAAGUAGACAAGAAUGUCACCUUGAGACAGAAUCAGGCAAUGAUGCAGCUGGACUGGAAUCUGGCACAGAAAUCUGGUGACCCAGGUGCUGUGUGCCAUCAUCGCCGGUGCCCUGCACUACCUCUACCUGGCCGCCUUCACCUGGAUGCUGCUGGAGGCCCUGCACCUCCUCCUCACUGCACAGAAACUGACGGUGGUCAACUACUCAAGCAUCAACAGAUUCAUGAAGAAGCUCAUGUUCCCUGUGGGCUACGGAGUCCCAGCUGUGAUAGUGGCCAUCUCUGCAGCCUCCAGGCCUCACCUUUAUGGAACACCUUUCCACUGCUGGCUCCAACCAAAAAAGGGAUUUAUAUGGGGCUUCCUUGGACCUGUCUGCGCCAUCUUCUCUGAUGCUGGCAUUUAAAGCAACAGCUCAGCUGUUCAUCCUGGGCUGCACGUGGUGACUGGGCAUCUUGCAGGUGGGUCCGGCUGCCCGGGUCAUGGCCUACCUCUUCACCAUCAUCAACAGCCUGCGGGGUGUCUUCAUCUUCCUGGUGUACUGCCUCCUCAGCCAGCAGGUCCGGGAACAAUAUGGGAAAUGGUCCAAAGGGAUCAGGAAAUUGAAAACUGAGUCUGAGAUGCACACACUCUCCAGCAGCGCUAAGGCUGACACCUCCAAACCCAGCACGGUUAACUAGAAAAAUCUUCCGAAUAAGAUCUUCCCUCUUUGCCCGUGGAAAAUCUGAACAAUCUUUGAGCCAUCUAGAGGGGAAAGAAAAGACUUUGUUCUGUGUGUUUCAAGAAAUUCACCAUGUCAGCAAUAUGAAGAAUGUUAUGGAAGGCGUGCUUGGCAUUCAAUUCCUGCAGAAACCAGAAAUCUUCCAUGCCCUGCAAUGUGCUCAUCAAACUCUCAGCAUAUGGACGGCCAGCUGUGGCCCAUAUCUUGGUCACUCUGAAGCACAAUAUUUAUGAAGCUAUAGAACGUUAAGACCUCUUCCACAGCCUCUCCUUCCUAUAAAGACUCCUCCAAAUCUUAAAAUGAAGCAGGAAAAUGAGCCUAAGAGGACUUUCAUACCAACAACAUCUGAAAGGACUAGCAUGUUCACAACACGAUCUGGAUUUCUUAAUUUGUUGUUGUUGUUGUUGUUGUUGUUCUCUAGUUCUACGGGUUUGAUUAUUUAGUCAUGUGAAAAAUAUUGAUUACUCACACAUAGAUCAAGAGAGACAUGGCUCCUGCCUUCAUGGAGCUUUUAGGGGAAAAUGAAGUGGCUCUUGCAGCUAGAGUUGACUCAGAAGCUGAAAUUCCUAGAAAUCAGGUUUCUACUGCUAGGCAAUUGAAGUAUAAACUAUUUUAUAAACAC